rnacentral:rRNA from 1 species
UACGGAGGGGGCCAGCGUUGUCCGGAUUCAUUGGGCGUAAAGAGCUCGUAGGCGGUUCGAUAAGUCGGGUGUGAAACCUCCAGGCUCAACCUGGAGACGCCACCCGAUACUGUCGUGACUAGAGUCCAGUAGGGGAGCGUGGAAUUCCACGUGUAGCGGUGAAAUGCGUAGAGAUGUGGAGGAACACCGAUGGCGAAGGCAGCCUCCUGGGCCAACACUGACGCUCAUGCACGAAAGCGUGUGGAGCAAACAGG